ACACAAUUUGAAACAUUGUUUGGUAGUUAGGGGGGUUUAGACAAGCCAUAUAUCUGCCUGCCAGUGAUGCUCAAUCAUACUUAAAUAAUAUGAGAGUUAAAAGCACAACUAAAAAAGGCUAAAUGUAUUAUGUAGAAUAAUUUCUCUAUACCCCAGAGCUCAUCAGUGUUUUCCUAAAUCUUUAUUCUAGACUUAUUUUGAUAAGUUUGCCUGUAUGAUAAUCUUGGAAAACUGAAAAUCUC